AUCCUAUCAAGUGCGUUGAACAUUUUUCUUUGGCACUAUGUCGCCCCGAGCCCCAAUCGCCACAGCUACCGUCACCGCCUAGUUGUUUGCCGGAAUUGAAUCUCUGGUCAUUAUUUUUAGAUACGAGACUAAGAAAUAGAAUAGGCAAUAGAGAAUCUGUUUGGAAGUUCUGGUAGCAAGUUAGGCCCUUGUUUAGUUUCCAAAAACUUUCAAGAUUCUCCAUCGCAUCGAAUCUUGUGACACAUGCAUGGAGCAUUAAAUAUAUAUAGAUGAAAAUAAAAACUAAUUGCACAGUUUACCUGUAAUUUGCGAGAUGAAUCUUAUGAGCCUAAUCUCUACUAUAAUGAAACACUUCAAAUUAUACUAGAUCUACCCAAUAAAACUUCCCCCGUUGAGAAUCUCUUAUCUCUAUACACUCAGAAAAAUGUACACAGAAAGUUGUCUUUAUUAAAAUCAAAGGCUAUAAAACAUAUCUUCCAUGCUUGAGCCCAAUCAUGCGGCGGAGAUUGAUCGCAGGCUUCAACACUACGGCUUCAACGCGACCUGAGUCCUCACCCUUCCCCGCCCCGGAUCGCGGCUUCAACAGGGUUACGAUCAAUCACCAAGAAAAAGAGGAAAAGAAACCGACAGUCCGACCUCCAUGGUGUCCGACGACGACGACGCGGUGCGCAACAAAGACGGCCGAUCCCUCCUCCACGUCACUACCGCUGCCGGCCAUACCCGGGCGAGUAGAGGAUUCGGGGAGAGUGCGACCCGGUCGGAGGGCGCGACGAGAGCGGAGGACGCGAGCCAGCGCAAGCACCGCCACUGUGCAGGCGAGCGCGAGCUCCGCUCCGCUAGGGCCGUAGCCGCCACCUCAUGCUCAGCCUCGCCCUCGCCCUCACUGCCUUGCUCGCACUCGCCUCCACAUCCGAAUCUGACCACCUAUGUUACACGGAUACAGAUACGCGUAUCGGUAUCGGAAGGAUACGGAUAUGCGGAUACGUCAAUUUUCUGAAAAAUCCGAUACGUGGAUACGUUUAAUAAUUAAAAAAAUAAAAAUAAAUAAAAAUAAUGCAUGUCUAAAUUUAAAGCUGAUAGCAAUAAAGUUGAUAGCCUUAAUGUCUGUUGGCUGUGUGGCUGCAGAUCCUACACUACCAGUACCAUUAGCACUAGCACCACUCAAAUUGGGAGACGCCAUCUACAACAAUCAAGCAAUAGGAAUCACUAACUCUAGUUCCACUAUUGAAAUAGAAUAGAUCAAGAAUGGGGAAGGGGAUUCACUCACUCACCGCUCACUGGAGGUCGACCCCGAUCCGGCAGGCUGGAGACUUGGCGAUGGCGGCCGGCGAGCAAGGGCGGACAGUGCUCGGCAGGCUGGAGACUUGGCGAUGACGAGCGGACGGGUGCUAGCCUGCUGCCGGCGGACGGAGAGCAGGGAAGCCAGGGAGGGUCGCGCCGUCGCGGGAUGGGAGCUCGUCGCCGG
rnacentral:lncRNA from 1 species